AUUGAACGCUGGCGGCAUGCCUUACACAUGCAAGUCGAACGGUAACAGGGAGCUUGCUCCGCUGACGAGUGGCGAACGGGUGAGUAAUGUAUCGGAACGUACCUUUUAGUGGGGGAUAACGUAGCGAAAGUUACGCUGAUGCCGCAUAUUCUCUGAGGAGGAAAGCAGGGGACCUUCGGGCCUUGCGCUAAUAGAGCGGCUGAUAUCAGAUUAGCUAGUUGGUGAGGUAAAGGCUCACCAAGGCGACGAUCUGUAGCGGGUCUGAGAGGAUGAUCCGCCACACUGGAACUGAGACACGGUCCAGACUCCUACGGGAGGCAGCAGUGGGGAAUUUUGGACAAUGGGGGCAACCCUGAUCCAGCCAUGCCGCGUGAGUGAAGAAGGCCUUCGGGUUGUAAAGCUCUUUCGGCCGGGAAAAAAUCGCAUGGGUUAAUACCCUGUGUGGAUGAUGGUACCGGAAUAAGAAGCACCGGCUAACUACGUGCCAGCAGCCGCCGUAAAAC
rnacentral:rRNA from 1 species